GCAGCGCGGCCCCUUUAAACCGCCCGCCCGCUCGCGCCCCCGCGCCUCGCGCCCGCGCGCCUCCAUUUUCCCGGCCGCCCGCGCCGAGCCCCGCGCCCAGCCCGGCCCAGCCUGCGGCCUCCGCCGCCGCCGCCGGACAUGGCCGCCAACAUGUACAGGGUCGGAGACUACGUCUACUUCGAGAACUCCUCCAGCAACCCGUACCUGAUCCGGAGGAUCGAGGAGCUCAACAAGACGGCCAACGGGAACGUGGAGGCCAAGGUGGUGUGCUUCUACCGAAGGCGGGACAUCUCCAGCACGCUCAUCGCCCUGGCCGACAAGCACGCCACCCUGUCGGUCUGCUAUAAAACCGGAUCGGGGGCCGACAACGGCGAGGAAGGUGAAACAGAGGAGGAAAUGGAGAACCCAGAAAUGGCAGACCUGCCCGAGAAGCUCAAGCACCAGCUGAGGCAUCGAGAGCUCUUCCUCUCCAGACAGCUGGAGUCACUGCCCGCCACCCACAUCAGAGGGAAGUGCAGCGUCACUUUGCUCAACGAGACUGAGUCCCUCAAGUCCUACCUGGAGCGGGAGGACUUCUUCUUCUACUCACUCGUCUAUGACCCCCAGCAGAAGACCCUCCUGGCUGACAAGGGGGAGAUCCGUGUCGGGAACCGGUACCAGGCAGACAUCACCGACCUGCUGAAAGAAGGCGAGGAGGACGGCCGAGACCAGGCCAAGCUGGAGACCAAGGUGUGGGAGGUUCACAACCCGCUGGUGGACAAGCAGAUCGACCAGUUCCUGGUGGUGGCCCGCUCCGUGGGCACCUUUGCACGCGCCCUGGACUGCAGCAGCUCUGUCCGACAGCCCAGCCUGCACAUGAGCGCCGCGGCCGCCUCUCGGGACAUCACCCUGUUCCACGCCAUGGACACGCUGCACAGGAGUGUGUACGAUGUCGCCAAGGCCAUCUCGGCCCUGGUGCCGCAGGGCGGGCCCGUCCUCUGCAGGGACGAGAUGGAAGAGUGGUCGGCCUCGGAGGCCAGCCUGUUCGAGGAGGCUCUGGAGAAGUACGGGAAGGAUUUCACUGACAUUCAGCAAGACUUCCUCCCCUGGAAGUCGCUCACCAGCAUCAUCGAGUACUACUACAUGUGGAAGACCACCGACAGAUACGUGCAGCAGAAACGCUUGAAAGCAGCGGAAGCGGAGAGCAAGUUAAAGCAAGUUUACAUCCCCAACUAUAACAAGCCAAACCCGAACCAGAUCAGCGUCAAUAACGUGAAGGCAGGCGUGGUGAACGGUGCCGGGGCGCCAGGCCAGAGCCCUGGGGCCGGCCGGGCCUGCGAGAGCUGUUACACCACCCAGUCUUACCAGUGGUAUUCUUGGGGUCCCCCUAACAUGCAGUGUCGCCUCUGCGCAUCUUGUUGGACAUAUUGGAAGAAAUAUGGUGGCUUGAAAAUGCCAACCCGGUUAGAUGGAGAGAGGCCAGGACCCAACCGCAGUAACAUGAGCCCCCACGGCAUCCCAGCCCGGAGCAGCGGGAGCCCCAAGUUUGCCAUGAAGACGAGACAGGCCUUCUACCUGCACACCACCAAGCUCACGCGGAUCGCCCGGCGCCUGUGCCGUGAGAUCCUGCGCCCGUGGCAUGCCGCCCGGCACCCCUACAUGCCCAUCAACAGUGCGGCCAUCAAGGCUGAGUGCACGGCACGGCUGCCCGGAGCCUCUCAGAGCCCGCUGGUGCUGAAGCAGGCCGCGCGGAAGCCCCUGGAGGCCGUCCUGCGGCACCUCGAGACCCACCCCCGCCCCCCGAAGCCCGACCCCGUGAAGAGCGUGUCCGGCGUGCUCGGCGGCCUGACCCCGGCCAAGUCGGCCCCCGUCAUCAACAACGGCUCCCCUACCAUCCUGGGCAAGAGGAGCUACGAGCAGCACAACGGGGUGGACGGCAACGUGAAGAAGCGCCUCUUGAUGCCCAGUAGGGGUAAGGCCCGGCCCUCCGCGCGUGCCUGUGUGUGCUGUGCUCACGCGUGCGCGGCGGACGGCUCAGGGCACGUCCAAGGGCAGUCCACGCGGGCUGGGCCGCACCCUGCUGCCCCGGCUCCUCCCGAUUCACCUGUCGCUCGGCAAAGAUCGGAGCGCUGCCCCUCGGGCCCCCAGCUCGCCCAACGCUACCUCCUGCCCCGGGGCCUCCGGCUCGCGGGCCACCCCUCCUUCCGGGCCCAGCGCCGGUCAGUGGACUGUCCUCGCUCCGGCGGCCCUGGUGCCCCCGCCGCCCGCCUGUACUGUCUGCUGUCGCGCUGCGACUGUCCGCAUGCCGCCAGCCUCAGCUUGCGUGGCCGCCUGCGCUGUGCUUGCAACCCUGCCUGUGCCCCUGCCCCAGUGGGGGGCUUUGGGACCCUGGUCUCCUCGGGGGGCAGGUGGGACAGAGCUGUGGUGUGGCCGGCAUGGCUGGGUGGGGGUCGGCGAGACCCGGGUGGACGCUCAGGUCAGGGCCCCGCAUGGAGGCGCGCCCAGGGCUGAGGGUCCCAGAGCUGAGGCAGCAGUAGUGCCCUCUCCUGAGCGGGGUGGGAUGCUCGUGGGGUGUGUGCUAGGGCAGCCCUCUGUGGGACCCUCCUGCCGUCGGCGCCUCUGGAAUGUGGCUCCUCUCACCUGCCCAGGGCCCGGCUUCUGCCCCCUCAGCUGGCGGUGGGGUGUUCGUGGGCUGGGGCUGCUCUAGGAGGGUGUAGCCACUGUGGCAGUGUGGGAUGUGUCAGACCUGGGUGUCCCAGGGCCCCCCAGGGAUUUGCCUGCGGCCGGACCCGUGUGUGUGUGUGGGGGGGAGAUGAACAGGGAAGCAGCUGAAGGGAAGAACGUGGCAAGUGUACUCGGAGCCCCUCCUGCCAGCCUCUCGUGACGGCAAGGUCAGGUCGGGUGUGGGUACCCCAGCUCCAUGGGGCAGCAAGCAUGGACACGUCCAGAGCCCUCCCCAAGCUCAGGACUGGAGGGCUACUGGCCCCAGGGGUCUGGCCGAGGCUUGGCUGUCCUGGGAUCUGUGGGAGGUGGGCCGGACGUGGGGACCCGGGAGGUAGCAGCGGCCAGCGGCCACCCGGCCCAGCCCUGUCCCCUGGAUGCUCCCUCUCUCCGCUGUGUCUGAGAGCCCCAGCAGGCACACCCUGAGGGUCAGUCGGUGGUACUGGUGCCGGGUCCUGCCAUCUCACCCCAUCUGGACACAGGCUCUCGCCUGCACCAGGCCCCGCCCUGGCUGCCUCACCCACGACCCUGUGGUGGGGCUCUGAGGGCGGGGCGCUAGCCUGCUGAUCUCCCUCCUCCCCCCCAUAGCCUUCGGGCGGGGAGGCUGUCGCAGCCCCUGGUCCCAGCAGCGGGGCUGGCUGCUCAUCUGCCGCUGCGACAGGUGCCCUGGGGAUGGUCUGAUUACACCCACAGAAGGGGGUGAGGGGCCGCGUGCUCAUCAGCAGGCAGCUUUGGGCUUUGUGGUCCGACCUGUGAAAAAGCCGUUAGUUAGCGGGAGGGAUGAAAUCUUUUUGCUUCUGUCGGGUUUCCCGAGAUCGAUGUGCUUCCGUACCUAUCUACUUCAGCCCCAGCGUGCAGAUCCCGGGUGGGGAUAUCGGGGGCUGCACAUGAGCCCUGGGAGGAGGCCACAGCUGGCCUCCUGGGGUGCUGUGGGGCAGCGGGGGCAGCAGCGGGUGGCGGGAGCUGGCUCUGGGCGAGGCCCGGCCUCUGGCACUGGUGGGGCCUUAAUGGGCUAACAGGCCCACGGACGCGCCUGCGGCUGCAUCCACCCUCUGGGCCUGCCGCAUGCACGCGCUCCCCUGUAACGCUGACCGUGUGCUUUCUUUCCUCCGCCACCCAUCCCUCUGGUAGGCACCUACCUGGGUAAGUAGCACAGGGCCUCGAGGGCUGCAGGCCGGGUGCCACGGCCCCUCCCUCUGCCCUGCCGGGGUUGGGGUACUCCAAGUUAGGAGGUGGUUUGCAAAGGGGAGGGCUGGACAGCUCUUCUCUGCUCGUCAAGAGACGAACCGUGGCCAAGGGGCCCUUUUGGGAGGAGCUGGUCCUGGGAGGCCUCUGGCAGGACGCAAGUGGUGGAGACCAGCCCUCAUGGGCACGUGCUCCCACGGCCGCCCACAGACUCGCCCUACGUGUGUCAGGAGCCACAGGUCUCGGGCGCCCGUUGGGAGUGUGGACUGAGACCUGGGCGGCGUCUUUCCUCUUCAGAGGGGCAGCUGCUUGUGGCUGCAGACCCCCGGCCGUGGGGUGGAAGCACUGGAGCCCUGGCCAGAGCCUGGCCUCCUGGCCACUCGAGGAGCUUCUGUCAGCUCCUCCCUGGGUGGCUGGCCCCAGGGUUUGCGAUGGGGGCUGGGGGCCCCUCGGGAGGAAGCCCAGGGUAGCCCGGCCUCCUGGGGUCUGAGUGGUGCUGCCCGGGGAGUGGCCGCCUUGCAGAGGGGCUGCCCGGCGCCACUGUAUUUAUACCCACCGUAGACCAGGCCCCGGUUGUCGCGGCCCAGUCAAGGGAGCGAGCUCAGAUCCGAGACUCCGGGCCCCCACCCAGAGCGCUGCCUGGGUGUGGGCUGUGGCUCUGGGGGGACCUGGCCCCAGGUCUGCUUCUCGGCUGCGGGUCCUCAGCGAGCGUGUUGAGUGCAGGACGUGCCUUGCCUCGGACCUCACAGCUUGUUCUCCUCCCUCUUGUCAGGUUUGGCGAAUCACGGACAGACCAGGCACAUGGGACCAAGCCGGAACCUGCUGCUCAACGGGAAGGCGUACCCCACCAAGGUGCGGCUGAUCCGGGGGGGCUCCCUGCCCCCUGUCAAGCGGCGGCGGAUGAACUGGAUCGAUGCCCCCG